rnacentral:lncRNA from 1 species
UCGUCCGCCGCUGCGGAUGGCACGCCUUCAACGAUGCUGCUGCAGCAUGAGGUACUGACGUUGACGCGCAUGGCGUGGUGGCCAUGCUCGUAGGCGUCCAUGAUGUGUGUGCGACAUGGCAACAUCUCCAAUCUGGAGCGGGUAAGCACCCCCAGCCCAAACACGUUGAGGAUUUAUUCUUUGCUUCUAGUGCUCGGGAUUUGGGGAAAAACUGCUUUUUUUCUUUCUCGGGAUCUUUUCUUAAAAAAAAUUUGAAUCCUUUUCUGAACCGAGGCCACAAUCAGUGCUAAUAUAUUAGGCGAAAAUUUAAUUUCGGCUAUUUCAUAAUUAGCAAACAUUAGUCAGGGCAAUUAGCACUUAACCCAGAUGUCAUCAUCAUUAUUAUGUAAGCGGAAGCGAUUUAUGCAUGAACAUUACUCAAAUUCAUAAGGAAUUAGACCAUGAUUAGUAAAUAACAUAAACCGAGUCUAAUUGGAGUUCUUAAACAGAGAUCAAACUGGCUCAAGAUACCAAUGUUAACAAUAAUACUUUAGAGUUAAGAUAACUAGGAUCUGGAUCUCUUGAUUAGAACACCCAUCAAGCAGAAUAGUGGUUACUAACCGUGAUUAUCUUGAUCCAUUAACAGGAUAGCCCCUGGCUCCACCUUAGCAUCUCCAGCAGUGAGAAGAUCGUCGGGAGGAAGGGCAUCAGUAGGCGAUGUAGCAGACACGAAGGAUGCCGCCGGCACGGACCUGGAGGUGGCCGGCGGUGGUGGUGGUCUUCUGAUCCCCUUAAGCAACCUUUCAGGAUCGGCUGUUAGGAGUAACCGGGUGCUAACCCGUACGUGUGUUACCCCCAAGGGGUACGACCUCCUCAUUUUGUAAGUGGUGCGAAGGGGACAGGGACCAAAACCAAAAGUUGGGUCAAUGCCCCCGAUCAGGGCAUGUACUGGGGAUGCAAAUCCUCCCCUUCUUUGUCUCAGUUUGUUAUAACCGUAGAUCAAUUCCAACACAGGGGAGACAAUAGAUCGAUGGAUGCAACGGUCAUCAGCGGUCGAGCACGGAGUAAAAUAGUAGGGGCGGUCUGGUACGAGUACAAGAGCCAAAUGCACGUUAAGCCGGCCUUGAUCCAUGUGCAUGCAUGCAUGUGAUCACAUGAAUCAAUGUAACAUCGUGCCAUGUGCACUCAGCGCCUAGAUCAGUGCAACGGUACUAUUGAUUAAUACUCUACCGCGCCCUGGCCGGCCAAAACAAAUACUGUCUACUCCAUAACCUUAAUGUUGAUGUGAACUUGCCCGGUUCCUAUAAAGAACAGUGCUGCAGCACCUAAACCUACA